rnacentral:rRNA from 1 species
CGUCCUAUUAGCUAGUUGGUGAGGUAAUGGCUCACCAAGGCUACGAUGGGUAGGGGUUCUUAGUGGAAGGUCCCCCACACUGGCACUGAGAUACGGGCCAGACUCCUACGGGAGGCAGCAGUAGGGAAUAUUGGUCAAUGGGCGCAAGCCUAAACCAGCCUUGCCGCGUGCGGGAUGAAGGCUCUCUGAGUUGUAGACUGCUUUUGUACAGGAGCAAAAAAAUCCCUGCGGGGGUUCUUGAGAGUACUGUAAGAAUAAGCACCGGCUAAUUCCGUGCCAGCAGCCGCGGUAAUACGGGAGGUGCAAGCGUUAUCCGGUUUUAUUGGGUUUAAAGGGUGCGUAGGCGGCUUAUUAAGUCAGUUGUGAAAUCCUAGUGCUUAACGCUAGAACUGCGAUUGAUACUAUU